rnacentral:snoRNA from 1 species
AAAUCAUGAUUAGGACACUUUAUGAGCAAUAACUAAAAUCUUUACCAUGGCUCAUAGAAUAGUUCCUCUUGUCCUUGUCUAAAAGUGGAAAUAUCAUAUUUAGCUCU